rnacentral:lncRNA from 1 species
UUUUAAUUUUAAUUCAAAAGUACUCAAAAACAUUCUUUUUAGUAAUUUCAAUCAUAUGAAAAUUCCAAUUGCAUUAUUGCUUUCACAAUUAGACAAUUUUGAUUUUUUUUUGUAAGUCUUAAUCUUAGACAGUGAACUUUAGUAAGCUUUAAUUUCUAAUCGAAUCAUUUACUUAGUACAAAAUUUUGCACACAAAUUCUAUUAUAAAUUUUUUAUAUGCUUAAUAAAAUUCAAUCUAAUUCUAUUUAUAGAUUUUAAGAAAAUAGCUAAAAACUCACAUAGAUGUUACCUAGCCACCAACUCAAAAGAUAAUGCAGAUGUUUUAGUAGAAAUUUUUCAUUUUUUAACUAUUAAAUUUAGCUCAAAAUUGAUAUGUAGCUUGAUCUUUAAGUCUUCUAAGACUAUGCCAAGUUUAAUUUUUUUUUUCAAUAAGUAGAUCUUCAAAUAUCAUAGAAAUCCUAUCUAAU